rnacentral:misc_RNA from 1 species
AGCCUCUCCAUUUAAUGGGUCAGAAGGAUUUGGGUACAAUAGAAGUUGUGGAAGGAAGACUUCGAACACAUUAACUAGAUCAAACAUUGGGCUCCACGUCUGGUUAAUGACAUCCAAACACACAGAACCAGACAUUUCAUCCACAUUAGGAUGAUAAAUCUUGUUAACGAAACCAAUCGACGGAGAUUUGUAAGGAUAUGCAUCAGGCAAUUCUACUCUAACCUUCCAGACACCACCUUGAUAAAUACUUUCAG